rnacentral:rRNA from 1 species
AUUGAACGCUGGCGGCAGGCUUAACACAUGCAAGUCGAGCGGGGAAAGGUAGCUUGCUCCCUGACCUAGCGGCGGACGGGUGAGUAAUGCUUAGGAAUCUGCCUAUUAGUGGGGGACAACAUCUCGAAAGGGAUGCUAAUACCGCAUACGUCCUACGGGAGAAAGCAGGGGAUCUUCGGGCCUUGCGCUAAUAGAUGAGCCUAAGUCGGAUUAGCUAGUUGGUGGGGUAAAGGCCUACCAAGGCGACGAUCUGUAGCGGGUCUGAGAGGAUGAUCCGCCACACUGGGACUGAGACACGGCCCAGACUCCUACGGGAGGCAGCAGUGGGGAAUAUUGGACAAUGGGGGGAACCCUGAUCCAGCCAUGCCGCGUGUGUGAUGAAGGCCUUUGGGUUGUAAAGCACUUUAAGCGAGGAGGAGGCUACCGAGAUUAAUACUCUUGGAUAGUGGACGUUACUCGCAGAAUAAGCACCGGCUAACUCUGUG